rnacentral:rRNA from 1 species
CCCUACGGGAGGCAGCAGUGAGGAAUAUUGGUCAAUGGGCGAGAGCCUGAACCAGCCAAGUCGCGUGAGGGAGUACUGCCCUAUGGGUUGUAAACCUCUUUUGUCGGGGAGCAAAAGCCGGACGUGUCCGGCUGUGAGAGUACCCGAAGAAAAAGCAUCGGCUAACUCCGUGCCAGCAGCCGCGGUAAUACGGAGGAUGCGAGCGUUAUCCGGAUUUAUUGGGUUUAAAGGGUGCGUAGGCGGUCCGGAAAGUCAGCGGUAAAAGCCCGGGGCUCAACCCCGGCGAGCCGUUGAAACUA